rnacentral:lncRNA from 12 species
AUGGCAACAAAAACAGCAACAACAGUAACCACCACCACAGCAAUGGGAACCACAGCAACAGCAAUAGUAAUGGCAGCAACAACAGCAGCAACAAUAGUAACAGUGACAAAAACAGCAGCAACAAUAGUAACAAUGACAACAACAGCAACAACAGUAACCACCACCACAGCAAUGGGAACCACAGCAACAGCAAUAGUAAUGACAGCAACAACAGCAGCAACAAUAGUAACAGUGACAACAACAGCAACAAUCAUAACAAUGGCAACAACAAUAGCAAGAACAGUAAUCACCACAACAAUGGGAACCACAACAGCAGCAAUAGUAAUGGCAGCAACAACAGCAGCAAAAAUAGUAACAGUGACAACAACAGCAACAAUCAUAACAAUGGCAACAACAAUAGCAAGAACAGUAAUCACCACAACAAUGGGAACCACAACAGCAGCAAUAGUAAUGGCAGCAACAACAGCAGCAAAAAUAGUAACAGUGACAACAACAACAGCAACAAUAGUGACAAUGGCAAUAUUAACAGCAACAACAGCAAUCACCACCACAACAAUGGGAACCACAGAGCCAGCAAUAGUAAUGGCAGCAACAACAGCAGCAACAAUAGUGACAGUGACGACAGCAGCAGCAACAAUAGGCACAAAGGCAAUAUUAGCAGCAACAACAGUAACCACCACCACAACAAUGGGAACCACAGAAGCAGCAAUAGUAAUGGCAGCAACAACAGCAGCAACAAUAGUAACAGUGACAACAACAGCGACAACAGUAACCACCACCACAACAAUGGGAACCACAGCAGCAGCAAUAGUAAUGGCAGCAACAACAGCAGCAACAAUAGUAACAGUGACAACAGCAGCAGCAACAAGAGUGACAAUGGCAAUAUUAGCAGCAACAACAGUAACCACCACAACAAUGGGAACCACAGAAGCAGCAAUUGUAAUGGCAGCAACAAUAGCAGCAACAAUCAUAACAAUGGCAACAACAGCAGCAGCAACAGCAAUCACCACCACAACAAUGGGAACCACAGCAGCAGCAAUAGUAAUGGCAGUAACAACAGCAGCAACAAUAGUAACAAUGGCAACAACAGCAGCAACAAUAGUGACAAUGGCAAUAUUAGCAGCAACAACAGCAAUCACCACCACAACAAUGGGAACCAGAGAAGCAGCAAUAGUAAUGGCAGCCACAACAACAGCAAUAAUAGUAACAAUGGCAACAACAGCAGCAGCAACAGUAACCACCGCCACGACAAUGGGAACCACAGCAGCAGCAAUAGUAAUGGCAGCAACAACAGCAGCAACAAUAGUGACAACAGCAGCAACAAUCAUAACAUUGGCAACAACAAUAGCAACAACAGUAAUCACCACCACAACAAUGGGAACCACAGCAGCAGCAAUAGCAAUGGCAGCAACAACAGCAGCAACAAUAGUGACAAUGGCAAUAUUAGCAGCAAGAACAGUAACCACCACCACAACAAUGGGAACCACAGAAGCAACAAUAGUAAUCACAGCAACAGCAGCAGCAGUGACACUAAAGACAGCAACAACAUUGGGGGGGUAG